rnacentral:lncRNA from 1 species
UCAGGACAAAAUUUUGUUUCUUUGUAUUCUCCCUGCAGCUCCUCAUAUAGUUCUAAGCAAAUAAAGGAAUUCAUUAGGUCCUUGAUUUCAGAAGGCUCCCAGUUCUCCAUGUAGGAGGAGUCUUAGGGUGGCAAGAUAAUUUGAGGGACUUUUCUUCAAGCACAUUUCACAAGUAAGAGAAAAUGUCGACUGUGUAUAUCUAAGAAUGGGUGGGGCUCAAUGAUGCCCCCCAAGUUACUCUUUACUAUUAUUGAUUGAUUGAUUGAUUGAUUGAUUGAUUGAAGAAGCAUAAAGAAAAUGUGUAUAUAUACACACACAAUGGAAUACUAUUCAUUCAUAAAAAAAAACAAAGUCUGUCUUUUGCAGCAAUAUGGAUGGAACUGGAAGCCAUUCUCUUAAGCGAAGCAACUCAGAAACAGAAAGGCAAAUUCCACAUGUUCUCACUUACAAUUGGGAGCUAAAUAAUGCAUAUGCAUGGACACAGAGUGUGGAAUAAUAGACAUUGGAGACUCGGAAGGGUGGGGAGAAUGGGAGAGGGUCAAUGAUGAAAAAUUACUUAAUGAGUACAAUGUACAUUAUUUGGGUGAUGAAUACACUAAAAGCCCACACUUUACCACUAUGCAAUAUGGCCAUGUAACAAAAUUGCCCUUACAACCCUUAAAUUUAUACAAAUAAAAAUAAAUAAAUAAAAGCUCCGUAGGGCUGAGAAC